rnacentral:rRNA from 1 species
AACGAACGCUGGCGGCAGGCUUAACACAUGCAAGUCGAGCGCCCCGCAAGGGGAGCGGCAGACGGGUGAGUAACGCGCGGGAAUCUACCCAUCUCUACGGAAUAACGCAUGGAAACGGGUGCUAAUACCGUAUACGUCCUUCGGGAGAAAGAUUUAUCGGAGAUGGAUGAGCCCGCGUUGGAUUAGCUAGUUGGUGGGGUAAAGGCCUACCAAGGCGACGAUCCAUAGCUGGUCUGAGAGGAUGAUCAGCCACACUGGGACUGAGACACGGCCCAGACUCCUACGGGAGGCAGCAGUGGGGAAUAUUGGACAAUGGGCGCAAGCCUGAUCCAGCCAUGCCGCGUGAGUGAUGAAGGCCCUAGGGUUGUAAAGCUCUUUCACCGGUGAAGAUAAUGACGGUAACCGGAGAAGAAGCCCCGGCUAACUUCGUGCCAGCCGCCGCAGUAAAAC